CAAAAGAAAGGCAGUGAAGGAACUUAAAUGAAUUCCUUGAUACUUAUGAGGCCAAGGCCAUGAACAUCAAGAUACAUUCCUUUGCAGUACCCAAGAGCUGUCUAACUGGCUCCAGAAUAACAGAUCUUAGUUAACCACCACUUGUUCUGAAAUGUCAGCGGACACUGCCACGGAAAUGGAGAGACAUAUUUGUAACAAGAGUGAAAUCUGCUGUUACUUACAAGGCUAAUACUUUAAAUUCUCAUUCUGGUUUUCACUGGGGAAUCUUGAAGCUUUUUACAAGCAUUAGUGGAUUAAUUUUCACUCCACCCAAAGCAUGGAUACAUUUACGAAGCUGUGAUUCUACAAAUGGGAGAAACAGAAAUCUAUCCUCGCUCUGAAUUAUUCCUCAAAUGUCUGGCAAACAGGGAACAGGAUGCAACCUGACACUGCCAAGCUCUGAGCUCCAGCCCAGGCCCUUCCUCUUCCUUCUAACUUCCUACUGGCUGCUGGCAUCUAGUUCUCAGUGCACAGAAGGGAAAAGCAGCCUGAACGUCAGCCUGACAAGAAUUAUUUAAUUCUGUACUAACAGAAACCUCCCUGGUCUGCACUGAUGUCUCUACAGUCUUGAGCAAUAUAUCAGAUACUAUGUCUGGAAGGAAAGGAAUCCUUCAGGAGUCAUGGAGACCCCUGUAAACUUUCUGACAGCAUCAAUGGUUAUCUCUUUGAUUUUCAAUGCCUAUCAGCCGUUCUCUCUCUUCUCCUGUACUGCAUUGCUAAGUCCCACUUCUAAGAAGUCAGCAUAGGGCAGUUUUGUCUACACUGUCAGUGUAGUUGAGGGCCUACCCUGGCUUACAUCCAACCACAUUGUUCAUACACCAGAUAUGCUCACAGAUUCCCAUUCCAGGUCAGAACCAGGGAAUAAGCAAACCUUAGAGGAGCUGAACUCUAUGCUUAGGUCUGUGUUCACAUUUAAUUUUCUUGUUGCCAUUUCUUGUGAUACCACACAUGAAGGAGAGGAGAG
ensembl:lncRNA